rnacentral:rRNA from 1 species
AACUAAAUUUUAAGAGCAAAUGGUGGAUGCCUUGGGAUAUUGAGGCGAUGAAGGACGUGGCGUGACUGCGAUAAUCCUCGGAGAGGUGUCUAGCAACCUUUGACCCGGGGGUUUCCGAAUGGGAAAACCCAAUCUCGUAAAACGGGAUUAACCCUGAUUUUAUCAGGGUGGCAAACCCGCUGAAGUGAAACAUCUCAGUAAGCGGAGGAAAAGAAAAAUAAUUUUAUUCCCUUAAUAGCGGCGAGCGAAAAGGGAAGAGUCCAAACCCCGCCUUGGCGGGGGGUUGUAAGGAGAUAAUGUCGGGAGUAUUCCGGGUGCACUGGAAUGCUUUCGAGGGAGAAUAUUUAGACGGAGAUUAGUUAGGAGAACGACCCUGGAAAGGGCGGCCAAAGAAGGUAAUAGCCCCGUAAUCGAAAACUUCUUCGCGCUCCUUGUUAUCUUACUUGAGUACUAUGGGAAAUGAAAGUCCUGUAGGAAGCAAGCCGAACUAAUCGGCUAAGGCUAAAUACUACAAUAUCCCCGAUAGUGAACUAGUACCGUGAGGGAAAGGUGAAAAGUAGGGGGGUGACCCCGGUGAAAUAGAACCUGAAACCAUUUUUGCUCACAAGGAGUCAGAGUCCCGCCUUUGGCGGGAUGAUGGCGUACCUAUUGAAGAAUGAGCCAACGAGUUUUCGUAUAUAGCUUGUCUAAGCUCUUACAGAGCGAAGGCGUAGCGAAAGCAAGUGUUAAAAGCGCGUUUUUGCUAUAUGCGGAAGACCCGAAGCCAAGCGAGCUUGCCAUGGCCAGGGCGAAUCCCGCAGAAAUGCGGGAGGAGGCCCGAACCCGUGAGCCGUGCAAUACUCUGGGAUGAGCUGUGGUAAGAAGUGAAAAGCUAA